rnacentral:rRNA from 1 species
CGUCUAAGUUUUCGGUUAAAUCUAUGCGCUUAACGUAUGGGCCGCCGAAAAUACUGGACAGCUAGGGAGUGGGAGAGGUACACGGUACUCAAUAGGAAGGGGUAAAAUCCUUUGAUCUAUUGAUGACCACCUGUGGCGAAGGCGGUGUACCAGAACACGUUCGACGGUGAGGGAUGAAAGCUGGGGGAGCAAACCGGAUUAGAUACCCGGGUAGUCCCAGCUGUAAACGAUGCAGACUCGGUGAUGCACUGGCUUGUGGCCAAUGCAGUGCCGCAGGGAAGCCGUUAAGUCUGCCGCCUGGGAAGUACGUACGCAAGUAUGAAACUUAAAGGAAUUGGCGGGGGAGCACCACAAGGGGUGAAGCCUGCGGUUCAAUUGGAGUCAACGCCAGAAACCUUACCCGGGGCGACAGCAGAAUGAAGGUCAAGCUGAAGACUUUACCAGACAAGCUGAGAGGUGGUGCAUGGCCGUCGCCAGCUCGUGCCGUGAGAUGUCCUGUUAAGUCAGGUAACGAGCGAGACCCCUGCGUCUAGUUGCUACCAUUACUCUCUGGAGUAGUGGAGCGAAUUAGACGGACCGCCACAGUUAAUGUGGAGGAAGGAAGGGGCCACGGCAGGUCAGUAUGCCCCGAAACCUGGGGCCACACGCGGGCUGCAAUGGUAUUGACAAUGUGUUCCGAAUCCGAAAGGAGGAGGCAAUCAUCAAACGAUACCUCAGUUAUGACUGAG